rnacentral:rRNA from 1 species
ACGGGAGGCAGCAGUGAGGAAUAUUGGUCAAUGGGCGGAAGCCUGAACCAGCCAAGUCGCGUGAAGGAUGAAGGUAUUAUGUAUUGUAAACUUCUUUAGCUGUGGAGCAAUAAUCUCCAUGUAUGGAGAGAUGAGAGUACACAGAGAAUAAGGAUCGGCUAACUCCGUGCCAGCAGCCGCGGUAAUACGGAGGAUCCGAGCGUUAUCCGGAUUUAUUGGGUUUAAAGGGUGCGCAGGCGGUCUUUUAAGUCAGUGGUUAAAUCGUGGAGCUCAACUCCAUCCCGCCAUUGAUACUGGAGGACUUGAUUGCGGUCGAGGUUGGCGGAAUUCGCCGUGUAGCGGUGAAAUGCAUAGAUAUGGCGAAGAACUCCGAUUGCGUAGGCAGCUGACCAGGCCGUAAAUGACGCUCAUGCACGAAAGUGCGGGGAUCGAACAGGAUUAGAUACCCUGGUA